GAUGAACGCUGGCGGCGUGCCUAAUACAUGCAAGUCGAGCGAACGGACGAGAAGCUUGCUUCUCUGAUGUUAGCGGCGGACGGGUGAGUAACACGUGGAUAACCUACCUAUAAGACUGGGAUAACUUCGGGAAACCGGAGCUAAUACCGGAUAAUAUUUUGAACCGCAUGGUUCAAUAGUGAAAGACGGUCUUGCUGUCACUUAUAGAUGGAUCCGCGCCGCAUUAGCUAGUUGGUAAGGUAACGGCUUACCAAGGCAACGAUGCGUAGCCGACCUGAGAGGGUGAUCGGCCACACUGGAACUGAGACACGGUCCAGACUCCUACGGGAGGCAGCAGUAGGGAAUCUUCCGCAAAGGGCGAAAGCCUGACGGAGCAACGCCGCGUGAGUGAUGAAGGUCUUCGGAUCGUAAAACUCUGUUAUUAGGGAAGAACAUAUGUGUAAGUAACUGUGCACAUCUUGACGGUACCUAAUCAGAAAGCCACGGCUAACUACGUG
rnacentral:rRNA from 1 species